AAAACGACUCUCGGCAACGGAUAUCUCGGCUCUCGCAUCGAUGAAGAACGUAGCGAAAUGCGAUACUUGGUGUGAAUUGCAGAAUCCCGUGAACCAUCGAGUCUUUGAACGCAAGUUGCGCCCCAAGCCUUCGGCCGAGGGCACGUCUGCCCUCGGUGUCACAA
rnacentral:rRNA from 1 species